AUUGAACGCUGGCGGCAGGCUUAACACAUGCAAGUCGAGCGGGGGAAGGUAGCUUGCUACCGGACCUAGCGGCGGACGGGUGAGUAAUGCUUAGGAAUCUGCCUAUUAGUGGGGGACAACAUCUCGAAAGGGAUGCUAAUACCGCAUACGUCCUACGGGAGAAAGCAGGGGAUCUUCGGACCUUGCGCUAAUAGAUGAGCCUAAGUCAGAUUAGCUAGUUGGUGGGGUAAGGGACUACCAAGGCGACGAUCUGUAGCGGGUCGGAGAGGAUGAUCCGCCACACUGGGACUGAGACACGGACCAGACUCCUACGGGAGGCAGCAGUGGGGAAUAUUGGACAAUGGGGGGAACCCUGAUCCAGCCAUGCCGCGUGUGUGAAGAAGGCCUUAUGGUUGUAAAGCACUUUAAGCGAGGAGGAGGCUACUCUAGUUAAUACCUAGGGAUAGUGGACGUUACUCGCAGAAUAAGCACCGGCUAACUCUGUGCCAGCCGCCGCCGUAA
rnacentral:rRNA from 1 species